CUCUCGCUCGGCCGCCGGGGGGAAAAACAAUCUGAUCAAACAUGUGGGGGAGAGGUCAGCUUGUGGACCUCGGCGUGGCCUGCCUCUCUCUCUCUCACUCUCUCUCUAUCUCUUUCUCUCUCUAUCUCUCUCCCACUUUCUCUCUCUGUCUCUCUUUUUCUCUCACUUUCUCUCUCUCUCUCUCACUUUCUCUCUCUAUCUCUCUCUCUCUCUCUCUCUGCAGAGCAGUCGGUUCUGGGAACUCCGAGUCAUCACAUUUCCUCGGGCGCUCUGGAAGAAGGGCCUUCGACACCCUCAGAGCAGAGGGGGAUAGUCACCGUCCGGCCCAUUUCAUCAAGAGACUCGAGACGCUUUUUUGAUGUUUGUGUGGACUGAGCCUUCUUUGCAAGAGCAACAAUCUCACAUAAUUGAGUGGCCUUGAACGUGCUGGCGCCCAACAAAGACCGGGUGAGCAGUCCCCCCCUCCGACCAUGACCCAAGAAGUCCUGGAUCUGCCUCCCAGUGUGAACACACAGUAACGCUGAGGUGUAGACUGACACCACAUCUGGUCAUCCAUCUGUCUGUAUUGGAGAAAUAUCCACUGGAUGCUCCCGUCAAGACUAACAACAGUGGACAGUGGGAGGGCGGGUGCGCGAAGAAGGGAAAUUUCACAUCGUAGAGUUGCCUCAUUUUAUGGUGGGGAAACUCCCGGGCGAGAACUUCAACUUUUGCAUUGCCACAAACCUCCACCUGUACAGUCUUGCCAUAUGAAACCACUUCACAUGCACAUACAUGGGAACGAGAUUAUGUCGAGGCUUAAAAAAGUACCCAAAGAGGGAAGUGUUACCUGUAAGUCAACACUGAAAUAUCCAGUCAACUUUCUACCUAAGGGGGAUAUUCCAAGUACACGUUUGACUAAGCUGGAUAAGGAAACUCAAGAGUAAAUGGUAAACCUCCUAAUAGAAGUGCACAUUCUCCCUGCUAAACAAAGCCAAAGGGCUCUCCUUUUUGAAGGGUUUACUACUUUCUUAGAAUUGACUUAUCCAGUUUAGCCACUAAGGCGUGUACUUACAAUAUCAUCCAGGGAUUUUUAUUAGCUCAAUUUAAUGACUGUAGGUGAGCAUUUUAGAAGCAGUGGAAGUCAGUCAUAUUCCCAAGGAGGUGACCUACUAAACUAUACAAGGCAGGCACACUGUCAAAACUUGCCCUGAAAAUGUUGAGGCCUACUGUUCAUUUUAAGAGCUGGUGCUGCCUCCAAAAACUUCCUCUUCCUCCCACGCACACACACAUACUGUACACACACACACACACACACACACCAUUAAAAUGAAAACAAAAACACAAAACACAACAAAUCAAAACAAAAACAAUGUGCAUGGCCACGGCCAGCCACAGCAAGGGGGAGCUGAAGUUUAGUGUGGCACUAUUUGGAAAUUAUGUAACCCAUUUUGUGUAUGUUCCUGGAAUCAGUACAAAGUGUUCACAUUAGCAAAGCAAACACUUUUCUGGAGGGUUGGGGGGUGGGGUGGGGUGGGGGGUCUUGCACAAUAGACAUCGCAGCCACACGCAAUACUGUACUGGCUCAAUAGGCCACUGAGAAGGAGGGAAGACUGGCUAAUGAAUGCUAACAGCCAUGAGCACAGGCCAAAAUACUCGCCUGUUUACACCUGAAUACAUGGAAACACACUGGCAGCCAUGUUUGUGACAGUUUGAUCUGCUCAAGUGUACACAUGUUGAAUGAUCAUGAAUUAAAAAAAAGAACGACAGUACGAGGAAUAAAAACAAACACCUUUAAAAACACACACACAUUUUGGGAUGUGUUUGUCGCACGCCACAUGGAUUACUACGGGUGCCACUUGAGUGCUACGGCGGUCCCGGUGUUCCUGGAUCGCUGACAGGUUGAUGAAUACUCUGAUAGCAGAAAUCAGAGGAAGCUGCUCUGCUGUGCUCCAAGGGGCCAAAUAACAGGCUUUCUGUUUUCAAUGUGCGCUGUCAACAGCACAAAAUGUCCCCUUUUCAUCACAUUAGAUAAUCUUCUCCAGUUACCAUAGAAGGACUCAUCAAACAUGCGCCUGCUAACAAAUAGAUUUCAUGCUGUGGGCCCUGGGGCCUCAGCUUCAACGGUGUAAAGAGACCUGUUUGCUUCUUUGCAGGGCCGAGUUUGUGGACGGGGUAAAAUUAUGUAAUUUACGACUCCUUGAAAACCUCCACACACAGCAGCUGAUAGGAGUGUGGCACACUCUGCUUUCAAUGUUUAAUUACAUUAGAUAACAUGGUUUUCAGUGCAGCCCUGCACACCGGUCAGCUUCAAACUCUGCCGCCGCUGCGGUGUAGAUUACGAUUCGGUUCUAUUUUGUCGGCGCGGCUCAGUAAAAUCUGUUGUUUAUCCAUUGAAAAUUUGGCGCCAAAGUGCGUGCCGAGUGACAGCACCUAUAGGCUAUUUGUGCGGUGCUUUAGACACCCAUCUCCAUAUUGGAUCAUAAAAGGAAGUGAACCUUUAUCAAUGAAUAUGAAAAAUCUUAUCUGCUGCUCACUUUUCAAGUUUGCUCGGAGCAAGUCGGGUUGAUCAGACUCCCCUUCUACCAGUCGUGUGCUGCGGUACAAGAGGUGAGAAAUAGCCACUUGUCUAAAGCAUGUGCACCGACACGGCAUUUAUGGCCCCGGCAAGUCAAGCGGUCUAAAUCCCACUCCACUGCACUGCAGACACAAUUGUAAGGCUUCAUUAUGAGGCCAGAGUCGGCGGGGGUGAAAUGCAGUAAGCGGUAGCACGCCCGCGCCUUUCAUUCUAAUAGGAU